CCGUUCAUUUCAGUUAUAACUGGAUCCAGUUCAUCAGGAAUUUUACUUGUUGACCUUUUAAAGAAGCUUAAAUCGGGACAAUUCACGAAGAUAGGAAAGGUUGUACGGUGCGGCAUGCCUUCCCCUCCAUCUUCAUGUUGGCUGCAAAUCUAAGAAUGAGAAGAACCGUCUUUGCAUGUGUUUUUAUCUUCCUCUGUCUCUUCGGUGAUGUUGGAAGUGUGAUUUGUAGGUCAUGUAAUCUCUCAAUCCCCUUCCAUGGAUGCCUUCUAGACUUCGGAACCUGCAGAACAAAGU